rnacentral:rRNA from 1 species
GAUGAACGCUGGCGGCGUGCCUAAUACAUGCAAGUCGAGCGAACAGAUCAGGAGCUUGCUCCUCUGACGUUAGCGGCGGACGGGUGAGUAACACGUGGAUACCCUCCCUAUAACACUGAGAUAACCUCGAGACACCGGAGAUAAUACCGGAUAAUCUAUUAAACCACCUUGUUCAAUUGUAAAAGACGGUUUUGAUGUAUGAUAUAGAUGGCUACGUGCCGCUUUAGCUAGUUGGUAAGGUAACGGCUUACCAAGGCUACGAUGCGUAGCCGAGCUGAGAGGGUGGUCGGCCACACUGGAGCUGAGACACGGACAAGACGCCUACGAGAGGCAGCAGUAGGGAAUCUGACGCAACAGGCGAAAGCCUGACGGAGCAAGGCCGCGUGAGUGAUGAAGGUCUUCGGAGCGUAAAACUCUGUUAUUAGGUAAGAACAAAUGUGUAAGUAACUAUGCACGUCGUGACGGUACCUAAUCAGAAAGCCACGGCUAACUACGUG